ensembl:lncRNA
UCCUCUGUCCCCCCAGACGUACAGUACCUUCUCUUGUCCCCCCAGUACUGUACAUCACCUUCCUCUUCCCCCCCAGACUGUACAGUACCUUCCUCCGUCCCCCCCCGGGACUGUGCGUUUAUUAUAGUCCCUUCCUCUGUCCCCCCCAGACUGUACAGUCCCUUCCUCUGUCCCCCAGACUGUGCGUACAGUCCCUUCCUCUGUCCCCCAGACUGUGCGUACAGUCCCUUCCUCUGUCCCCCAGACUGUGCGUACAGUCCCUUCCUCUGUCCCCCAUACAGUCCAUACUGUACAGUACCUUCAGAAAGCAUUAACACUGCUUGACCUUUUUCCCCGUUGUGUUACCGCCUGAAUUAAAAAUGUAUUAAAUUGGAAUGUUUAAAUAAUAAUAAUGUUAAUUAAUUUGUAGAAAAUGAAAAUAAGUUUCCUUAUUUCCUAAAGGUUAUAAAAAAAAGCUUAACAAGUCACACACGUUGCAUGGACUCUGUGUUUGAAUAAUAUAAUAUAAUAUAUAAUAUAAUAAUAUAAUAUAAUAUAUAAUAUAAUAAUAUAAUGUGUUUAACAUGAUGUUUGAAUGACUGCCUCAACUCUGUACCAAUCACAUACAAUUAUCUGUAAGGUCCCUCAGUCAAGCAGUGAAUUUAAAAACUAGAUUCAACCACAAAGACCCAGGGAGGUUUUCCAAUGCCUUACAAAAAAUGUUUUAAUAAUACAAUUUUUAAAAAACAGACAUUGAAUAUCCCUUUGAGCAUGGUGAAGUUUUUAAUUACACUUUGGAUGGUGUAUCAAUACACCCAGUCACAACAAAGAUACAGGAAUCCUUCCUAACUCAGUUGCCGGAGAGGAAGGAAACCGCUCAGGGAUUUCACCAUAAGGCCAAUGGUGACUUUAAAACAGUUACAGAGUUUAAUGGCUGUGAUAGGAGACAGCUGGGGAUGGAUCAACAACAUUGUAGUUACUCCAUAAUACUAACCUAAUUGACAGAGUGAAAAGAAGGAAGCCCGUAGAGAAUAAAAAAUAUUCCUAAACAUGCGUUCUGUUUGAAACAAGGAACUAAAGUAACACUACAAAAAAUGUGGCAAAGCAAUUCACUUUUUGUCCUGAAUACAAAGUGUUAUGUUUGGGGCAAAUACAAUACAACACAUUACUGAGUACCAUUCUCCACAUAUCCAACAUUAGUUGUGGCUGCAUCAUGUUAUGGGUAUGCUUGUAAUUGUUAAGGACUGGGGAGUUUUUCAGGAUAAAAAAUAAACGGAAUGGAGUUCCGUGCAAAAGGCAAAAUCCUAGAGGAAAACCUGGUUCAGUCUGCUUUCCACCAGACACUGGGAGAUUAUUUCACCUUUCAACAGGACAAUAACCUAAAACACAAGGACAAAUGUUUUAAAAAAUAAAUAUUGAAAUUUAUUUAACUAGGCAAGUCAUAUAAGAACAAAUUCUUGUUUACUAUGACGGCCUACCCCGGCCAAAACCUUACCUGGACGGCGCUGGGCUAAAUGUGCACUGCCCUAUGGGAUUCCCAAUCACUACCAGUUGUGAUACAGAAGAUAGUGAAUCUUCCUGAGUGGCUGAGUAACAGUUUUGACUUAAACGUUGAUAAACGUUUUUGACUUAAAUCCACUUGGAAAUCUAUGACAAGACUUGAAAAUGGUCGUCUAGCAAUGAUCAACAACCAAUUUGACAGAGCUUGAAGAAUUUAUUAAAGAAUAAUGGGCAAAUGUUACACAUUCCAGGUGUGGAAAGCUCUUAAUAAGAGACUUACCCGGACAGACUCACAGCUGUAAUCGCUGCCAACAGUCAAGGGUGUGAAUACUUAUGCGAAGUAGUUAUUUCUGUAGUUCAUUCUCAAUAAAUGUGCAAACAUUUCUAAAAACAUGUUUUCACUUUGUCAUUAUGCGGUAUUGUGGGUAGAUGGGAGAGAAUUUAUUUAUUUAUUUAUUUAAUCCGUUUUGAAUUGAGGCUGUAACAACAACAACAACAACAACAACAACAACAACGUGUAAGAAGUCAAAGGGAAGGAAUACUUUCCUUGUAGAUUGUGUGGUCCGUUCUGGAGCUGAAUAGCUUUUUGAAGGAGUUUUUUUAAAACAACUGAAAUGGUAGACAAUAACAUUUGUGGAUACUCACUGGGUUCUCUUUGGAAUAUCAGAAAACGUAUCCCACAUCCGGCGCCACACAUCAAAGAGAAGCUUCUGGAAAUGCAACAUUUUGCAAACUAGAAGCCAUCCAAGAGGAACCAAGGCUGGCCCAGAUAGACAAAGAAAGAUCUGCACUGUUGUUGGUAUCAGACAUGCCAAAACUGUCACGUAGAAGUUCCAAGGGGACUUCACUGCAAUAAAGAAAGCAGAAGAUGCGAAAUCUUGUCUGUCAAAUAUCCUGACCUGCAAUUCCAGAUCUCUGUUAAAGUGUUUGAGCUUCUACUCAGAUCAUCCAGGGCUUCUAUUGGUGGAAACGGCACAUG